GGUCAGCUCUUGGCAGUGCCUGACCUCACUGCAUCCUGUUAAGUCUCCAAGGAACACCAAAUUUUCCCCUUGUCGUUGGAGACAUGAGGGCUUGAUCCUGGAACAAUGACCCACGAUUCCGAAGGUGAUGACGUUUUCUUGACUUGGGUGUGAUGUGUUCAUCCUUUUUCUGCUGUGCCAAUGGCAGUCUCGGUGGUUAGCAGCACGAGGUAGGGUCCUUCCCAGGCUGGCUCGAGUUUUGCUUCUUUCCGUCCUUUGAUGGUCCCCAGGCUGGUGCUGGUGUACUGGAAAUUCUAGGGGUGGUGCCUGUGCUAGAAGACCUCUGGUUUUAAGUGAAAAAAAGGUAGAGGAGAGACCAAGUAUAUAAUUUCUGAGAAACUGAUCCUUUGAUUCAAAUGUGGGGGCAUGAGCAGUGGAAUAUAAGUAAGGCAACCCAUAUAACAUUUCAUAAGGGGACAGGCCAACAUCUUUCCAAGGGGAGGUUCUAAUCCUUAAUAAAACAAUAGGAAGGCAUUUAGCCUAUGGCAACCGGGUCUCUAGGACUAAUUUAGUUAGGUGGCUUUUAAGGGUUUGGUUCAUCCUUUCUACUCUCCCUGAGGAGGAUGGGUGCCAAGGAAUGUGAUAUUCCCACUUUAUGUCUAGUACUUGAGCCAACUUUUUAAUGAUAUGUGCAGUAAAAUGGGUUCCAUUGUCUGAAUCAAUGUUUUCUAUUAGUCCGAACCUGGGUGUAAUAUGUUCAAUUAUUGCUUUAACUACAUUACUAGCGGUUGCACUUGAAAAAGGGAUAGCCUCUACCCAAUGGGUGAAAUGAUCUACUAUUACCAAUAAAUACUUUAGCUGACCAGGUGGGGGCAUUUCAGCGUAAUCAACUUGGACACUUUGAAAUGGUCUUAGUCCUGGAUUUCUUCCUCCAAGUGGUAAUUUUCUUAGGGCUUGUUUAUUUGUUUUCUUACAAAUUAGACAACUGUCUUUAACUUGUUUUGCUAAAGUAUAAAUCUCAAUAUACCCAUAAACCCUGAGAACUGCAUCACACAUAACUUGGGGCUCCAGUGAGUUCUUUGAUGUAGUUAAGAUAAAACCUCCCUCAAAAGAGGCUUAGAUAAUAUUUCUUUCUGGUCUGGGAGUAUCUAUUUCCCUUCUGAAUUCCUUUGAGCUCCUAUUUUUACUAAUUUUUCCUUCUCAGUAUGACAGAAAAUAGGAACUACAGUGGGAGAAGGAAGACAAGGAGUUAAGUGAAAGAUGGUGUCUCAGAGGAAACAGCAGCUUGCUUGGCUCUUUGAUCCACAAGAGUAUUUCCUCAACUUUCAAAAUAAAAGUUGUGUUGGUGUCCUGGAACAUGGACAAUGUCUAUUUCCUCUGGUAACUGAAGAUUAUUCAGGACACAAUUAAUGUUUCAUAAGCAAGAUCUUGACCUUUACUAUUAAUAAGGCCCCGUUCGGCCCAAAUUUUUCCAAAUGUGUGAGACACCCCAAAAGCAUACUUAGAGUCAGUAUAGAUGGUUCCUACCUGGUUCUAUAAGUAUUUUAGGGCCUGGCUAAGUGCAAAUAGCUCACAGGCUUGGGGAGACCAACUAUUGGGUUAUCUUCCUGAUUCAACUUCUUUGAGAGUUUCCCCAUCGAUUACUGCAUACCCAUUAUGUCGUUUUCCCUCAAUUACCUGGGAGGAACCAUCUGUAAAUAAAGCUGCCCUGUCUUAAAGGGGGUUUCUACUAAAUCUGGGCUGACUUUCGUAUGGUAGUCAAUUAAAUCUAGACAUAGGUGUUCCCUUUUUAGCAGUGGGUUCCCUGUCAAGAAACCCACUGGGUUAAGUGAAUUGUCUGUAGUUAAGGUUAAAUCAUCUUUUUCUAAUAGGAUAGCUUCAUAUUUUAAAAUUCUGGAGUCAGUGAGCCAUCUUCCUGCCUUUUGGCUUAGGAUAGCUUGACUUGUUGAGGUGUACUCACUGUCAGAUAUCCUCCAAAAGUUAAUUUCCUGCUUUCUUCAACCAAUAUCACCGUGGCCACAAUGGAUUGAAUACGCUGAGGCCAUCUGCAGGCGACUGGAUCUAGAACUUUUGACAGGAAGGCCACUGGCUGUCGGCAGCCCCCAUGUUCUUGGGUAAGCACUCCUAGAGCCACUCCAUUAUCUACGUUAACAAAAAGAUGAAAUGGUUUUUCUAGAGAGGGUAGGGCCAGGACAGGAGCAGUUAUGAGUCUUUCCUUUUACUCCCCAACCUGAUCAACCUCUUCAGAAGUCCAUAUGAAGAGAUCAGGUUCUCCUUUAGUUAGCUUCUCAUAUGGAAGUUUACUUUUUAAUGCAUAUGAGUCAAUCCAUAAAUGGCAGUAUCCAACUAACCCUAAAAAUUUCCUGAGUUCUUGCUUGGUUUGAGGCAAGGGCAAAGACACAAUUCCUUUGACCCAUUUGGGUCCUAUUCUUCCUUUGUCUGCAUUUAUUAAAUGGCCUAAGUAUUUAACUUCAGGUUCUACAUAUUGAAGCUUUCUCUUUGAGACCCAUACCCUUCAAACUGUAAGUGGUUAAGAACGUGUGUAGAAAACCCAGCUACCUUCUCUAUGUCUUCUCCAGAUAUAAGAAUAUCAUCCACAUAUUGGAGCAAACGUAGCUGCUUUGGGACAACAACUUUUUCUAAUACUUGCUCUAAGAUUUGACCAAAAAGAUUGAGUGAAUCUGUAAAUCCUUGGGGUAAAACUGUCCAUCUAUACUGUUGUUUCCAUCUUGAAUGGGGACCUUCCCAUUCAAAAGUAAAUAUAUCCUGGCUGUCUUCAGCCAAGGGACCUGCCCAGAAUGCAUCCUUUAAGUCUAUUACUGUGAACCACUGAUGACUGUGUGAAAUUUUACUAAGAAUGGUGUAAGGGUUGGGUACAACAGAAUGAGUGGUCUGGACUAUUUGAUUGAUAGCUGUAAGGUCCUGCACUAGUUGGUAUGACCCAUCUGAUUUUUUGACUGGUAAAAUUGGAGUGUUGUAUGAGGACAUACAAGGUUCAAGUAGUCCAUCUUUAAUAAGACUCUCAAUUACAGGCUUUAACCCUACCCUUCUUCUAAAGGGAUAGGGUAUUGCUUUCUUCUCACUACCUCCCCUGGAGUCCUUAACCUGAUAUGUAUUGGAGGAAUUCGUAGCUUUCCUCAGUUUCCUUCCCUUGGCCAGACAUCGAGAUGAAUGGACUUCUCAUCUGCUGUGGUAAGCAAAUUUAAGGAAGUUAGAACACCCUUUGGGCCAACUUGCAGACCUAUACCUAGUUUUAACAUUGAAUCUCUCCCUAACAGAUUGGUUCCUGCUUCAGGAAUUAACAAAAGUUGAAUACAAGUUGACUGAUCUUGGUAUUUUGCUUCUGUAUUUUCUAAAACUUUCUCCUUAAAUUCUUCUCCUUUUACCCCAGAAACUAGCAAUUCCUCUGUAGAACAAGUUAAAUCAGCUGGGGGAAAACAAACAGACAAGCAAGCAGCUCCUGAGUCAAUUAAAAAGGUCUUGGCUGGAAAUUUUGGUCUGCUGCCAGAACAUUUUGGCCCAGAGGAUGGUCACACUCCCAGACCACCACAGCAGCUCUGCGGAUCAUGUUCUGCUCUUCCCCUGAAAAGAGGAUACCUAGGAUGGACAUUAAUUCAGCCCAGGUAUAUAACUGCGGGCCUAAAAACUGAUCAAUUUGAUCUGCCACUCCAUAAGGAUCAUCUAAUAAUGGCUUGAGUUCUUUUUUUUUAAGACUUCGGACUUCGGAACCAGUUAAGGGAGCAUUUACAAGGCAAAUUGCCCCCCCUUGUGGUACCUCCCUUAAAAGAAAGAACUUUGAAGAUGAAUCCUUAGAAGUGGGGAGGGGGAAAGGAAGACUCUGAAUAUCCUUUCUACAUUGUUGUAUUUCCCGUUGAAGUCCUUUCUUUAAAGAAGGAUAUUCAGACUGACAAAACUUGGGUCCCUGGGACAAUAACUUCCAGGAGUCCGGGUUGUAUGGGGGAGGAAUAACCUGAGUAUGAGGAUCCAGAGGAGAGUCUGGAACUGGGUCUGGGAUGGGGUUUGGGGCGGCGGCAAUUGCUUGAGGAGGGAGUGGUGGGUUUUUGAGAAGUGGGGGAUGGUGGUCUAGAGGGUCCCACUUACUCGUGGAUGUCUUAGAAGUAGAAACUUUGUUCUCAGAUGAGACAGCCUCUGAGUCCUUUUUACCUUCUAGUUCCUUCCCAUCUAUUCUUAGCGGGUAGAGAAGAACGGCCCCUGCCGCCAGCACAGAGCAUAGUCUAUUUCUUCUUGUGAGAGAGGACUCUUGUCAUUAACAUACAUUAUUAGGAGUUGACAAACCCAGUCCCCAUCCAACCCAAACUUUGGCCAGAAAACUGUGGGCUUGAGGAUUGGCUCUUUAGUCCAAAUAAAGCAGCAAUACUUUAUCAUUUGCUGCUUUCCCUUGAGUUUAGUCCUCUCAUUGUCUUUCCAAUACUUUAACAUAAGCCCUAAAGGACUAUCGGUGGGGGGGAUUUGACCAUCUGCAUUCUUUCCCUUCCCUGUUUUACUAGAAAUAUUCCCUAUACUGAGUACCAGUUAGACUCAACCUCUCGACCCAGAGUUUUCUUGCUUAUCCCGUUUUCCAGAGGCUUGCUUAAAACAACCUCACGUAUGGCCGGGCGCAGUGGCUCACACCUGUAAUCCCAGCACUUUG
rnacentral:lncRNA from 1 species